rnacentral:tRNA from 4 species
AGCGGGUUGGUGGAGUGGUCUAUCACGUGUGACUUAAGUUCACAUCUCGCAAGAGGCGCGGGUUCGAACCCCGCACCCGCUA